rnacentral:lncRNA from 1 species
GAAGCAAGGGCAUUUUAAUCGAUAUUAGAACGAGAAGGAUGGAUGCAGAGUGCACGCACAAGGAAACAAAUGACGGGAUGAGGAAGAAAGGGGAAUGAGUUUAUGUAUUUGCAGCGCGAAAUUUAACAGGUGCGAUCAUACCAGCACAAAUGCACCGGAUCCCAUCAGAACUCCGCAGUUAAGUGUGCUUUGGUGAAAGUAGUACAAUGAUGGGUUACCUCGUGGGAAGUUCUCGUGUUGCACCCAUUUUCUUUUUUUCAGAUGUGCCGUUCGACGUUACGCGCGACUUUAAUUAUGGUCCGCAGAUUUAUUCGCAAAUGUGAGUCACGGCGCCGUGGCAUUGUACUUGAUAUUUGAACGAGAACGAGAGGUGCAGUGCGCACGCACUUGGAAACAAAUGACGGGAGGGGGAAGAAAGGAGAAAGAAUUUAUGUUUUUGCAGCGCAAAAUUAAACAGGUUCGAUCAUACCAGCACUAAUGCACCGGAUCCCAUCAGAACUCUGCAAUUAAGUGUGCUUGGGCGAGAGUAGUACUCGGAUGGGUGACCUCCUGGGAAGUCCUCGUGUCGCACUAAUUUUUUUGCUCAGACGGGUCGUUCGACGUUACGCGCGACUGGAACUAGGGUCCACUGGUUUAUACGCAAAUGUGAGUCAAGAAGCAAGGGCAUUUUAAUCGAUAUUAGAACGAGAAGGAUGGAUGCAGAGUGCACGCACAAGGAAACAAAUGACGGGAGGAGGAAGAAAGGGGAAUGAGUUUAUGUAUUUGCAGCGCAAAAUUUUAACAGGUGCGAUCAUACCAGCACAAAUGUACCGGGAUCCCAUCAGAACUCCGCAGUUAAGUGUGCUUUGGUGAAAGUAGUACAAUGAUGGGUUACCUCGUGGGAAGUUCUCGUGUUGCACCCUUUUCUUUUUUCAGAUGUGCCGUUCGACGUUACGCGCGACUUUAAUUAUGGUCCGCAGAUUUAUUCGCAAAUGUGAGUCACGGCGCCGUGGCAUUGUACUUGAUAUUUGAACGAGAACGAGAGGACGCACUUGGAAACAAAUGACGGGAGGGGGAAGGAAGGAGAUAGAAUUUAUGUAUUUGCAGCGCGAAAUUAAACAGGUGCGAUCAUACCAGCACUAAUGCACCGGAUCCCAUCAGAACUCCGCAGUUAAGUGUGCUUGGGCGAGAGUAGUACUCGGAUGGUUGACCUCCUGGGAAGUCCUCGUGUCGCACUAAUUUUUUUUUCAGACGGGUCGUUCGACGUUACGCGCGACUGGAACUAGGGUCCACUGGUUUAUACGCAAAUGUGAGUCAAGAAGCAAGGGCAUUUUGAUCGAUAUUAGAACGAGAAGGAUGGAUGCAGAGUGCACGCACAAGGGAACAAAUGACGGGAGGAGGAAGAAAGGGGAAUGAGUUUAUGUAUUUGCAGCGCAAAAUUUAACAGGUGCGAUCAUGCCAGCACAAAUGCACCGGAUCCCAUCAGAACCCCGCAGUUAAGUGUGCUUUGGUGAAAAUAGUACAAUGAUGGGUUACCUCGUGGGAAGUUCUCGUGUUGCACCCAUUUUUUUUUUUCAGAUGUGCCGUUCGACGUUACGCGCGACUUUAAUUAUGGUCCGCAGAUUUAUUCGCAAAUGUGAGUCACGGCGCCGUGGCAUUGUACUUGAUAUUUGAACGUGCAGUGCGCACGCACUUGGAAACAAAUUACGGGAGGGGGAAGGAAGGAGAUAGAAUUUAUGUAUUUGCAGCGCGAAAUUAAACAGGUGCGAUCAUACCAGCACUAAUGCACCGGAUCCCAUCAGAACUCCGCAGUUAAGUGUGCUUGGGCGAGAGUAGUACUUGGAUGGGUGACCUCCUGGGAAGUCCUCGUGUCGCACUAAUUUUUUUUUUUCAGACGGGUCGUUCGACGUUACGCGCGACUGGAACUAGGGUCCACUGGUUUAUACGCAAAUGUGAGUCAAGAAGCAAGGGCAUUUUGAUCGAUAUUAGAACGAGAAUGAUG